GACGAACGCUGGCGGCGUGCUUAACACAUGCAAGUCGAACGGAAAGGCCCUGCUUUUGUGGGGUGCUCGAGUGGCGAACGGGUGAGUAACACGUGAGUAACCUGCCCUUGACUUUGGGAUAACUUCAGGAAACUGGGGCUAAUACCGGAUAGGAGCUCCUGCUGCAUGGUGGGGGUUGGAAAGUUUCGGCGGUUGGGGAUGGACUCGCGGCUUAUCAGCUUGUUGGUGGGGUAGUGGCUUACCAAGGCUUUGACGGGUAGCCGGCCUGAGAGGGUGACCGGCCACAUUGGGACUGAGAUACGGCCCAGACUCCUACGGGAGGCAGCAGUGGGGAAUAUUGCACAAUGGGCGGAAGCCUGAUGCAGCAACGCCGCGUGCGGGAUGACGGCCUUCGGGUUGUAAACCGCUUUCGCCUGUGACGAAGCGUGAGUGACGGUAAUGGGUAAAGAAGCACCGGCUAACUACGUGCCAGCAGCCGCGGUGAUACGUAGGGUGCGAGCGUUGUCCGGAUUUAUUGGGCGUAAAGGGCUCGUAGGUGGUUGAUCGCGUCGGAAGUGUAAUCUUGGGGCUUAACCCUGAGCGUGCUUUCGAUACGGGUUGACUUGAGGAAGGUAGGGGAGAAUGGAAUUCCUGGUGGAGCGGUGGAAUGCGCAGAUAUCAGGAGGAACACCAGUGGCGAAGGCGGUUCUCUGGGCCUUUCCUGACGCUGAGGAGCGAAAGCGUGGGGAGCGAACAGGCUUAGAUACCCUGGUAGUCCACGCUGUAAACGGUGGGUACUAGGUGUGGGGUCCAUUCCACGGGUUCCGUGCCGUAGCUAACGCUUUAAGUACCCCGCCUGGGGAGUACGGCCGCAAGGCUAAAACUCAAAGGAAUUGACGGGGCCCCGCACAAGCGGCGGAGCAUGCGGAUUAAUUCGAUGCAACGCGUAGAACCUUACCUGGGUUUGACAUGGAUCGGGAGCGCUCAGAGAUGGGUGUGCCUCUUUUGGGGUCGGUUCACAGGUGGUGCAUGGCUGUCGUCAGCUCGUGUCGUGAGAUGUUGGGUUAAGUCCCGCAACGAGCGCAACCCUUGUUCACUGUUGCCAGCACGUUAUGGUGGGGACUCAGUGGAGACCGCCGGGGUCAACUCGGAGGAAGGUGGGGAUGACGUCAAGUCAUCAUGCCCCUUAUGUCCAGGGCUUCACGCAUGCUACAAUGGCUGGUACAGAGAGUGGCGAGCCUGUGAGGGUGAGCGAAUCUCGGAAAGCCGGUCCCAGUUCGGAUUGGGGUCUGCAACUCGACCUCAUGAAGUCGGAGUCGCUAGUAAUCGCAGAUCAGCAACGCUGCGAUGAAUACGUUCCCGGGGCU
rnacentral:rRNA from 1 species